rnacentral:rRNA from 1 species
UACGGGGGGGGUAAGCGUUGUUCGGAAUUACUGGGCGUAAAGGGCUCGUAGGCGGCCAACUAAGUCAGACGUGAAAUCCCUCAGCUUAACUGGGGAACUGCGUCUGAUACUGGAUGGCUUGGAUUCGGGAGAGGAAUGCGGAAUUCCAGGUGUAGCGGUGAAAUGCGUAGAGAUGUGGAGGAACACCGAUGGCGAAGGCAGCCCCCUGGGUUAACACUGACGCUCAGGCACGAAAGCGUGGGGAGCAAACAGG